GCCUCAGUUCCUCACCACAUGGGCCUCUCCAUGGGCUGCUUGAGUGUCCUCAUGGCGUGGCAGCCAGUAAUCCAAGAGAGAGCAUGAAGCAGAAGCCCAACACAUCGCUUGUCACCUACCCUUGAAAAUGGCAUCACUUCUGCUAACAUGCUGUUGGGCAGCACCACCAUCAAGCAACCCCAGAGUGGAUCUGAGUUUGCUCUGACCUCAGGCAAGGGAGCUGGGCUUUCAGACCCCUACACCCAACACCCAUCGGCUAAUGUCUUCCCUAGAGGUGGGAGUGGGGUGUGUUAACCUCCCCGUGAGGUCAUAAACAUCCAGCUCUUUGACCUUGUGCUUUAUAAAGCGACGCUAGCAGCCCCAGAGCAGUGUUUCACCAAGACACACGGUACAAACCCAUGGAACAAAAGCACCCAGGAGCCAGAGGAGGCACAUGCAGAAACAGAGCAAAGGAUCUGCGGGGGUCUGAGCAGACAACCAGCAGUGUCUGCUGCAUUUAUAUUCACGAACGACUGGAAACGAGGAAAUGGUCUGACUGCAGGGGAUCAGCUGGACAAGCGGCUGGAGUGGUAUGCUGCCAGUGAAUCAUGCUCCUGAAGAUGGGUUAUCGCCACAGAAAUGACACAUGGGACGAGCCAGCCUCAAAUAAUCACCAUAUAAGAUACCCAAAGAAAUGGAUACAAAUUUGCAUUUAUAUUUUAUUUGCUUUAAAAUACCACUAUCUCUUUCAAGAAGAUCCAGAGGCCCAGGAGGACUGAAUGGUUUGGGGGCCAAGCCCUGGGAGCCACUACCUUGUACCACCUUGGGAGGCUGCUCCUGCAUCCCUGCUGCUUCAGCUCCAGCCGUGGCUCAAAGGGCCCCAGCAGACAAAGUCAUUACUGGAGUCGGAGCCUGUGGACAUCUAAAGAAAUACCCACAGAGGAAGCCUAAGUUGCCAUCUUUUUCCUCAUUUCUCCAACAGGAUUUAUAUCAAUUCCUUUUUUUUUCUUCCCUUAAUCUUAUUACUUUUUAACUACAGAAAAGAUUUUUAUUGCAGGAAAAUCAGAAAAUUCAGAAGAAAACAAAAAUCAUAUUUCCCCCAUUCAGAGAGGGAGAUAACUACUAUUGCAUUUUUGUUUGUUUCUUUCCCAUCAACUUUCAUGUACACAAACAUAUAGACAUUAUUAUUGUUAUUAUUAAUAUAAUUUUACAAAAAUGACAUCAAAUUCUUUAUUAUUCUCUUUUUUACUACAUAUCAAGAGUAUCUUUCCAUGCCAAUAAAUAUAGAUUGA